UUUUGAUCUUGAGUGUUCGGACGUGACGCAGCCGGAUGUUGCAAACGAAAUCACAAGCCAACCGCCAUUUUGGAUUAAUUUACGGAUCUCAUCAUACACAAAGAUUAGCAGACUGUACGGGAAAGCACAGAACCACCACAUAAUCCUGCAAAAGAAAUAGGAAAAGGAGAAAAGAAAAGUAACAAUUGAGGCAAAGUUGUCGUCCAGCAGGAUCAUGUCAGCAGCUUGCUUGGAAACGUCUGAGCCCGAGAUUCCCAUGGCAACACCAAUGUCAGCCUUCUUCAGAGCAGGGGAGUCAUUCACCCCAUCACCUGUCACAGCCAC